rnacentral:tRNA from 1 species
GCGGGCGUGGCGGAAUGGCAGACGCGCUGGACUUAGGAUCCAGUGGGGUUAAACCCGUGAAGGUUCAAGUCCUUUCGCCCGCACCA